rfam:Triticum aestivum genome assembly, contig: Triticum_aestivum_CS42_TGACv1_scaffold_225043_3B
UGUGUACUCCCUCCGUUCCAAAAUACUUGACAUUCAUUUGUCCAAAAAUGGAUGUACCCAUAUACUAAAACAUGUCUAUAUACAUCUAUAUUUUGACAAAUAGAAGGCAUGUACUAUUUUGGAACGGAGGGAGUAGAAU